AAAGUGUUAAAAAUUUAAUAGAAAAGGCAAAAACUUUAAUACAAAGUAAAUAAGUCUACACACACCCUUUACAGAAACAUAUUUGUGUAGUUAAUUCAUUAUACUCUGAAACACAAACUAAUUACUAUUGCAUAUGCUACAUGUACUUCAGAACUUAGUGAUUGAUGAAAAAGUCCUUAUUUUUAUGUGUUUCUUAAUUUCUGAUGAAAAAAAAUAAUUUCUAUAUAUAAUCUUAUCUCAUUUUGUUUGAAGAUGAUCGACUGCAGAAGAAAAGAAGAUAUUUCUAGGAUUUUACUUUUCAAAUUAAUUAUGGUAUAAUCUAUGUCACAAAAUAAAGGGAUGCCACAGUCUGCUGUUGGAAUUCAUCUUAACAAAAACUUUCACAAUGUUGAAUGAUCUUUUUUUCAUUAAAUCUAUGUCUGCAAAUUUAUAUCUUCUUAAUCUUUUUAAAUUAACAACAUUUGUAUGUUUAAGGAAUGUACUUAGGUGAAAUUUAAAAAAUCAAGAAAUUAAAAUUGAUACUACAUUUUGAAGGAGCACCAGUUAAGGAACAAAACAAGCUAAAAAUAUUGAUAGGUCAUGGACCUCGUUUUCGAGAUAUUUGAGUUUAAAAACAAGAGGCUCUCAAGAGCCUGAAUCGCUCACCUGGUAAACAAUGCCUUCGGCCAUGUUUUUUGACGAAAUA
rnacentral:lncRNA from 1 species